rnacentral:rRNA from 1 species
GACGAACGCUGGCGGCGUGCUUAACACAUGCAAGUCGAACGGAAAGGCCCUGCUUUUGUGGGGUGCUCGAGUGGCGAACGAGUGAGUAACACGUGAGUAACCUGCCCUUGACUUUGGGAUAACUUCAGGAAACUGGGGCUAAUACCGGAUAGGAGCUCCUGCUGCAUGGUGGGGGUUGGAAAGUUUCGGCGGUUGGGGAUGGACACGCGGCUUAUCAGCUUGUUGGUGGGGUAGUGGCUUACCAAGGCUUUGACGGGUAGCCGGCCUGAGAGGGUGACCGGCCACAUUGGGACUGAGAUACGGCCCAGACUCCUACGGGAGGCAGCAGUGGGGAAUAUUGCACAAUGGGCGGAAGCCUGAUGCAGCAACGCCGCGUGCGGGAUGACGGCCUUCGGGUUGUAAACCGCUUUCGCCUGUGACGAAGCGUGAGUGACGGUAAUGGGUAAAGAAGCACCGGCUAACUACGUG